rnacentral:rRNA from 1 species
GAUGAACGCUGGCGGCGUGCCUAAUACAUGCAAGUCGAGCGAACAGAUGAGGAGCUUGCUCCUCUGACGUUAGCGGCGGACGGGUGAGUAACACGUGGAUAACCUACCUAUAAGACUGGGAUAACUUCGGGAAACCGGAGCUAAUACCGGAUAAUAUAUUGAACCGCAUGGUUCAAUAGUGAAAGACGGUUUUGCUGUCACUUAUAGAUGGAUCCGCGCCGCAUUAGCUAGUUGGUAAGGUAACGGCUUACCAAGGCAACGAUGCGUAGCCGACCUGAGAGGGUGAUCGGCCACACUGGAACUGAGACACGGUGCAGACUCCUACGGGAGGCAGCAGUAGGGAAUCGUCCGCAAUGGGCGAAAGCCUGACGGAGCAACGCCGCGUGAGUGAUGAAGGUCUUCGGAUCGUAAAACUCUGUUAUUAGGGAAGAACAAAUGUGUAAGUAACUAUGCACGUCUUGACGGUACCUAAUCAGAAAGCCACGGCUAACUACGUG